UUCAAAAUGAACUGGGCACUGUGCAUACUACUGCACCAUCUGUUGGGGGAAAAUGAAGAGGAACAGAUACAUUGCCCUACACCUUGAUAAGCACCUGCAACACGUGCAUGUGCGGGCUGCUGGAGGAGUGCACUGGAGGAGCUUUCAUUCUUACCACUGUGUGGGUGGGCGAGGAAGAACAGGUGUGAGCAUUUGCCAACAGAGACACCCAUAGAGCCCCCAGGUGUUCAUGCUCCUGCUUAAUGUCAGGGCCAAGGAGAGGCCUUUUGGGAUUUUCUUUUGCACCUCCCUACUGGUUCUAUGAAACACUCCAGGUUCCUAUUGUAUAUUUCCUCCCCAGUCCUAGACACAACCACUUCUCCAAGAGACUCUGGGUCUUCUACUGGACAAUGAUAAUAGAAAAUAACAACUGGGUGCUGGGUAUGCUGUUGUUACAGAAUCAUCUGACAGAGCAAAGAAAUGUAUGUAUAUAUACAUAAACAUAUGACUUUUUCUUUAUGUCACCAUCUACUCCUAUAUUAAAAUAAACAUAAGUUCUUACUGAUGUCUUCAACAGUAAUCCAUUA